rnacentral:lncRNA from 1 species
GACCGGGUUUCUCCAUGUUGGUCAGGCUGGUCUUGAACUCCUGACCUCAGGUGAUCCACCUGCCUUGGCCUCCCAAAGUGCUGGGAUUACAGGUGUGAGCCACCACGCCCAGCUAAUUUUCUCUUUUUAAAGGGCAGCAUUCAUUCAAAGGCUCCUUUAGAUCCCUCCCACCACCAGAGUAUCUCUGGCUCCUCCCUACAAAAGGCACA